rnacentral:rRNA from 1 species
GUCUGUGGCCAUCACAUCUUGAACACACCUGAUCUCAUCUGCUUGUGGAAGCUAAGCAGGGUCUGGCCUGGUUAGUACUUGGAUGGGAGACCACCGGGAAUACUGGGUGUUGCAGGCU